rnacentral:rRNA from 1 species
AAUAGAUACCCGGGUAGUCCACGCCGUAAACGAUGAGUGCUAGGUGUUGGGGGGGUCCACCCCUCGGUGCCGAAGUUAACACAUUAAGCACUCCGCCUGGGGAGUACGGUCGCAAGACUGAAACUCAAAGGAAUUGACGGGGACCCGCACAAGCAGUGGAGUAUGUGGUUUAAUUCGAAGCAACGCGAAGAACCUUACCAGGUCUUGACAUCCCUCUGACCGGUUCAGAGAUGGACCUUUCCUUCGGGACAGAGGAGACAGGUGGUGCAUGGUUGUCGUCAGCUCGUGUCGUGAGAUGUUNGGGUUAAGUCCCGCAACGAGCGCAACCCUUAGUUCUAGUUGCCAGCACGGAAGGUGGGCACUCUAGAGCGACUGCCGGUGACAAACCGGAGGAAGGCGGGGAUGACGUCAAAUCAUCAUGCCCCUUAUGACCUGGGCUACACACGUACUACAAUGGCCGGUACAGCGGGCAGCGAAGGAGCGAUCCGGAGCCAAUCCUAGAAACGCCGGUCUCGAGUUCGGAUUGCAGG